rnacentral:rRNA from 1 species
GACGAACGCUGGCGGCAUGCCUAAUACAUGCAAGUCGAGCGAACUGAAGGAAUGCUUGCAUUCUGGACGUUAGCGGCGGACGGGUGAGUAACACGUGGGAAAUCUGCCAAUAAGUGGGGGACAACAUUCGGAAACGGGUGCUAAUACCGCAUAGAUUCUUUAGUCGCAUGACUUUAGAAGGAAAGGUGCUUCGGCAUCGCUUAUUGAUGAUCCCGCGGUGCGUUAGCUAGUUGGUAGGGUAAAGGCCUACCAAGGCGAUGAUGCAUAGCCGACCUGAGAGGGUGAACGGCCACAAGGGGACUGAGACACGGCCCUU